rnacentral:lncRNA from 1 species
CAUUGGGUUUUGUUUUUCUCUUUCUUUUUUUCCAAGUUGAGCACUUGAUCAUCUUGUAGUCAUCACCAUCAUCCCAAUGAUCCUCUCUUGCUCUAUCACUUGGCAUGUACCAACCUCAUUAAGUCUACAUACACUUAGUAUAGAGGUUAGUACUAGGGUUUCAUCAAUUAUCCAAAACCAAACUAGGGCUUUCAAUCUCCCCCUUUUUGGUAAUUGAUGACAACCCUUUUUACAAAGAUUUUCAAUAAAAUUUUCUUGGAUUCAUGUUGCUUGCCCAAGCAUUUUACCAUGUGCAAAGGUCAUGGACAAGUUUUAUAAACCCAAAUUGGUAGC